rnacentral:snRNA from 1 species
CAUUAGGGCUUCUGUUGUGUGUUGCACAAGUAGGGCAGCUUGCUUGAUCUUUUUGUGGAAGAGGUUUAGGAAGCAUCAUUUUUUGGUACUUGGGCAGCUGGCAAUCACUGGUGGUGGUGCCCUG